GGAAGGAUGGCCGAGUGGUUUAAGGCAACGGUCUUGAAAACCGUCGAGUUUAACAGCUCCCAGAGUUCGAAUCUCUGUCCUUCCAUCA
rnacentral:tRNA from 1 species